CGGCAACGGAUUUCUCGGCUCUCGCAUCGAUGAAGAACGUAGCGAAAUGCGAUACUUGGUGUGAAUUGCAGAAUCCCGUGAACCAUCGAGUCUUUGAACGCAAGUUGCGCCCGAAGCCAUCAGGCCGAGGGCACGCCUGCCUGGGCGUCACACGCCGUUGCCCCC
rnacentral:rRNA from 1 species